rnacentral:rRNA from 1 species
CUACGGGUUGCUCCAGUGGGGAAUAUUGCACAAUGGGGGAAACCCUGAUGCAGCAACGCCGCGUGAAGGAAGAAGGCUCUUGGGUUGUAAACUUCUUUGAAUGGGGACGAAACAAAUGACGGUACCCAUAAAACAAGCCACGGCUAACUACGUGCCAGCAGCCGCGGUAAUACGUAGGUGGCAAGCGUUAUCCGGAAUUACUGGGUGUAAAGGGCGUGUAGGCGGGAGAGUAAGUCAGAUGUGAAAUGCCAAGGCUUAACCAUGGAACUGCAUCUGAAACUGUUUUUCUUGAGUACUGGAGAGGAAAGUGGAAUUCCUAGUGUAGCGGUGAAAUGCGUAGAGAUUAGGAGGAACACCAGUGGCGAAGGCGGCUUUCUGGACAGUAACUGACGCUGAGGCGCGAAAGCGUGGGGAGCAAACAGGAUUAGAUACCCUGGUAGUC